rnacentral:rRNA from 1 species
UGGGGAAUAUUGCACAAUGGGGGAAACCCUGAUGCAGCGACGCCGCGUGAACGAAGAAGGUAUUCGUAUCGUAAAGUUCUGUCCUAUGGGAAGAUAAUGACAGUACCAUAGAAGAAAGCUCCGGCGAAAUACGUGCCAGCAGCCGCGGUAAUACGUAUGGAGUGAGCGGUGUCCGGGAUUAUUGGGCGUAAAGGGUACGCAGGCGGUUUAAUAAGUCGAAUGUUAAAGAUCGGGGCGCAACCCCGCAAAGCAUUGGAAACUGAUAAACUUGAGUAGUGGAGAGGAAAGUGGAAUUCCUAGUGUAGUGGUGAAAUACGUAGAUAUUAGGAGGAAUACCAGUAGCGAAGGCGACUGUCUGGACACAAACUGACGCUGAGGUACGAAAGCGUGGGGAGCAAACAGG